GUGACUUGUAGCCAGUCAUAGGCUUGCUAGACAGACACUCUAACCACUUAAUCCAUGUCCUCAGCCCCUCUCCUUAGGAAAAUUGUUUUUCACAUGUGUAGACAUAGCUGAGAAAACAGGUAACUUGAAUGUAGAUU